rnacentral:rRNA from 1 species
GGCCAGCAGCCGCGGUAAUACCGGCGCCUCAAGUGGUAGUCGAUUUUAUUGGGCCUAAAACGUCCGUCGCCGGUCUGGUGCAUUCGUGGGUAAAUCAACCCGCUCAACGGGUUGAAUUCUGCGAGCACGGCCAGACUAGGGACCGGGAGAGGUGUGGGGUACUCUAGGGGUAGGGGUAAAAUCCUGUCAUCCUUAGAGGACCACCAGUUGCGAAGGCGCCACACUAGAACGGAUCCGACGGUCAGGGACGAAGCCUAGGGGCACGAACCGGAUUAGAUACCCGGGUAGUCCUAGGUGUAAACGCUGUGAACUUGGUGUCGGGAGUCCGCAAUGGGCCCCCGGUGCCGGAGUGAAGAUGUUAAGUUCACUGCCUGGGGAGUACGGUCGCAAGGCUGAAACUUAAGGGAAUUGGCGGGGGAGCACUGCAACGGGAGGAGCGUGCGGUUUAAUUGGAUUCAACGCCGGAAAACUCACCAGGGCCGACUGUUAGAUGAGGACCAGCGAAAUGAGCUUGUCGGAUUUUCAGAGGGGUGGUGCAUGGCCGUCGUCAGUUCGUACUGUAAAGCGUUCUGUUAAGUCAGAUAACGAACGAGACCCUCAUCUCUAUUUGCUACCCGUCUCUCCGGAGGCGGCGCACUAUAGAGAGACCGCUGGUGUUAAACCAGAGGAAGGCGAGGGCAACGACAGGUCAGUAUGCCCCGAAUGUCCUGGGCUACACGCGCGCUACAAAGGACGGGACAAUGGGAAGCCAGGCCGAGAGGCCGAGCUAACCCGAAACCCGUUCAUAGUUCGGAUCGAGGGCUGUAACUCGCCCUCGUGAAGCUGGAUUCCGUAGUAAUCGUGUUUCAAUAUAGCACGGUGAAUAUGCCCCUGCUCCUUGCACUCACCGCCCGUC